UCUCCCGCACAUUGGGAAAAGAGUUCAUCUGUUGCCAACGGGCAAAAGACUUUCUCCACAGUCCGCCUGGUAUUUGGGCUUCCUCCUGAGCUAUUGAAAAGAAUAGCAACUGUUUUUUGUCUGCUUAUCAUGAGGCAGAGCCUGGGCUAACCAUUUAUUGAGUUUACUCAUCUCUGUAGUCUCCACAGCAGUGUAUGAGAUAGAAGAUACAAUUUUGUACAUUCCCAGUUCAAAAAAAUGAUAAAGGUGAGAGGCGACGGAUAUGCUAAUUACCCUGAUUUGAUCAUUACACGUUGUAUACAUAUAUGGAACUAUUGCGCUGUAUCCCGGAGCCUAUGGAGAAUUUUGGUGGCAGGAGCAGUGCUGAUCUGUAAGAACGGUUGAUCAUCCCAAGAAAUACUGUAUCUGGGACUCAGAAAGCGGAGCAGUUCCUAGGAAAUGAUCUCCAUACAGAAGAAACCGGGGCCCUGAAGGUUCAAGACCAAUGGAGGCAAGAUAAGUUCAGAAUCAGGGCAGAGGCAGCCUUAAUGGAGAUGGAAGGAUGAAGCUAAGAGAUGCUGUGGAGGAGGAAGGGGAUUUGGUGACUCCACAAGAAAGUUGAAAAUGAAAGAGGAAUCAAGGCUGAUUUCAAACUCCUAAGCCAUGGUGUUAAAAGAGUAAUGCGAAUGAAAUUGGGCAAACCAGGAGAUAAAUUUGUAGGAAAGGAGUGUUUUUUUAAAAAAUGUUAACAAUAAAACUGUAAGUAUUUUUUUAAAAUUCAGCAAUACAAUAUGAUAUAUAUUGAAAAGUAAAAAUCUUCUUCCUUUUCCCAUUCCCACUCCCAAAUCUUAGUGACUAUUUACUGCUUCUUGUGUAUCCUUCCUUAAAAGUUACUUUUACACAAAUAAUGAUCAUACACUACCAUUAAUAGUGUAUUUUUAAACUGGAGCUUUCCAGGUAUGCCUCAUUCUUUUUAAAAGCUGCAUAGUUUUUCACUGUACUCACUUAUCCUUAACCAAUUCGGUACUCACUUAUACUUAACCAAUUCUGUAUUGAUAAGUAUUUUGGCUGUGUUUAGUAAGAUUGUUUAUGGUGUUGUUUUUGCCACUAUUACUGCUUGCAACUACAAAAUAUUGCUGCAAUGCAAA